GUGCAAAGGUAGCAUAAUCAGUUGACUCUUAAUUGGGGCCGGGAAUGAACGAAUACACGGAAAAGAGCUGUCCCUUUAAUAUAAAGCGAAUUUGGUAAGCAAGUGCAAAUACUUGCAUAUUUAAAUUAGACGAGAAGACCCUUGAAGCUUUAGAAAAUUCUUUUGUUGGGGCGACAGAACUGCAUUAAACCAGUUUGCUAAGACCUGAAGGCUAAGCAUGUACGUUGAAGCUACUCGAGGG
rnacentral:rRNA from 1 species